AUUUAUAAGAAUUAGGGUGCAGUGUUUGACUGCAUGUGUGUGUGUGGACAAUAGCAGACACACUGAGAAAUUAAGACAGAGCUAGAGGGGGAGAGAGAGAGAGGGAAGCUCAUUAUAAUCAGGCAAUUAUGCUGGCAGAAUUAGAGGCGUCCUUAUUUUCUCUUGUGGCAGCCAGAGUGUGGAUACGGCUUUUUAACUCACUAUAGACUAAUCCACGGAUACGACUGACUAUUUCAUGUUAAUAUGAGGAAUCUGUAUAUAACAGCAAGAUUUGGAAGGGAGCUGAGAGAAGAGGGCAGUUGAUCAAGCCCACAACUCAGGACCAUCAGGGUCUUCAGAACUGUGGUAUAUAAUUAUAUUGCAUGUUUUUUUUUUUUUGGUUGUUUUACUAAGUUUUUCUAAUUUUGUUGUUAAUCCUAUUGAUAUUGUUGUUUAUGUCUAUCAGGCAUAGAGUGUAUUAUACAUCAUGUGUGUAACUCAUUUGUAGUAUCCUUAAAACUGUAAUGAUUUUUUUUUAGGUUUUAUCAGAUAUAAAAUCAUACUCAGAAAUUGAAAUGUGCAAAAAUUAAAAUGUAUAUUAUCUAGAUAAAAUUGCAAUAAAAGAAUAAGAUUAUA